rnacentral:rRNA from 1 species
UACGAAGGGUGCAAGCGUUAUUCGAAAUCACUGGGCGUAAAGGGUGUGUAGACGGCAUGAUAAGUUCAUUGUUAAAGACCUCGGCCUAACCGGGGAACUGCAACGAAAACUAUUAAGCUAGAGGGUGAGAGAGAGAAGUGGAAUUCCCGGAGUAGCGGUAAAAUGCGUGGAUCUCGGGAGGAACACCAAUGGCGAAGGCAGCUUCUUGGCUCAUUUCUGACGUUGAGGCACGAAAGCGUGGGGAGCAAACAGG